AGUGAACGCUGGCGGUAGGCCUAACACAUGCAAGUCGAACGGCAGCACAGUAAGAGCUUGCUCUUACGGGUGGCGAGUGGCGGACGGGUGAGGAAUACAUCGGAAUCUACUUUUUCGUGGGGGAUAACGUAGGGAAACUUACGCUAAUACCGCAUACGACCUACGGGUGAAAGCAGGGGAUCUUCGGACCUUGCGCGAUUGAAUGAGCCGAUGUCGGGUUAGCUAGUUGGCGGGGUAAAGGCCCACCAAGGCGACGAUCCGUAGCUGGUCUGAGAGGAUGAUCAGCCACACUGGAACUGAGGCACGGUCCAGACUCCUACGGGAGGCAGCAGUGGGGAAUAUUGGACAAUGGGCGCAAGCCUGAUCCAGCCAUACCGCGUGGGUGAAGAAGGCCUUCGGGUUGUAAAGCCCUUUUGUUGGGAAAGAAAAGCAGCAGGUUAAUACCCCGCUGUUCUGACGGUACCCAAAGAAUAAGCACCGGCUAACUUCGUG
rnacentral:rRNA from 1 species